UACGUAGGGGGCAAGCGUUGUCCGGAAUCAUUGGGCGUAAAGCGCGUGUAGGCGGUUCGAUAAGUCUGCUGUGAAAGUCCAGGGCUCAACCCUGGAAAGCCGGUGGAUACUGUCGGACUAGAGUACGGAAGAGGCGAGUGGAAUUCCUGGUGUAGCGGUGAAAUGCGCAGAUAUCAGGAGGAACACCAAUUGCGAAGGCAGCUCGCUGGGACGUUACUGACGCUGAGACGCGAAAGCGUGGGGAGCAAACAGG
rnacentral:rRNA from 1 species